rnacentral:rRNA from 1 species
UACGUAGGUGGCAAGCGUUGUCCGGAAUUAUUGGGCGUAAAGCGCGCGCAGGCGGUUCCUUAAGUCUGAUGUGAAAGCCCACGGCUCAACCGUGGAGGGUCAUUGGAAACUGGGGGACUUGAGUGCAGAAGAGGAGAGCGGAAUUCCACGUGUAGCGGUGAAAUGCGUAGAGAUGUGGAGGAACACCAGUGGCGAAGGCAGCCACCUGGUCCACUUCUGACGCUGAGGCGCGAAAGCGUGGGGAGCAAACCGG